UACUCUCACACUCUCUGAUCCUUUGGAUUGGGAGUGGUGGACUUGGGUGUUGCUGUUGUUACUGCAUGGCUCACCUCAAAUGCAUUAGUGCAACUCCUGAUUGGACAUAGUACGGCGUGAUAAGUGUCUUCGCCGGCGCCUCGUAAGAGGGUGGCUGAUUGGGAGCUCUGUGCUUCACAAACUGUCUUCGGACAAUUCUGACA
rnacentral:misc_RNA from 1 species